rnacentral:rRNA from 1 species
UACGUAGGGUGCGAGCGUUGUCCGGAAUUAUUGGGCGUAAAGGGCUCGUAGGCGGUUUGUCGCGUCGGGAGUGAAAUCCACUGGCUUAACUGGUGGCUUGCUUUCGAUACGGGCAGACUGGAGGUAUGCAGGGGAGAACGGAAUUCCUGGUGUAGCGGUGAAAUGCGUAGAGAUCCGGAGGAACACCAGUGGCGAAGGCGGCCGCCGUGGACCUGACCUGACCGCUGAGCGCGAAGG